CUCCUAUAGAAAAGGCGAUUACCUCAUUUUUGGCUCAGAAACGAGCGGCUUACCACCUGAAGCUUUACUGGACUGUAAAAGCGAAACCAUUGGCGGUGGAACCAUUCGGAUUCCAAUGGUUGAAACAUAUGUUAGAUGUCUGAAUCUCUCUGUGAGUGUUGGAAUUGCUUUGUAUGAAGCUUCAAGACAGCUAAACUAUGAGCAGC
rnacentral:misc_RNA from 1 species